UACGGAGGGAGCUAGCGUUGUUCGGAAUUACUGGGCGUAAAGCGCGCGUAGGCGGCUUUGUAAGUUAGAGGUGAAAGCCCGGGGCUCAACCCCGGAACUGCCUUUAAGACUGCAUCGCUUGAAUCCAGGAGAGGUGAGUGGAAUUCCGAGUGUAGAGGUGAAAUUCGUAGAUAUUCGGAAGAACACCAGUGGCGAAGGCGGCUCACUGGACUGGUAUUGACGCUGAUGUGCGAAAGCAUGGGGAGCAAACAGG
rnacentral:rRNA from 1 species